UACAGAGGUCCCAAGCGUUGUUCGGAUUCACUGGGCGUAAAGGGUGCGUAGGCGGUCGGGUAAGUCUGGCGUGAAAUCUCCAAGCCUAACUUGGAAACUGCGUUGGAUACUAUCCGGCUCGAGGAAUGGAGGGGAGACUGGAAUACUUGGUGUAGUAGUGAAAUGCGUAGAUAUCAAGUGGAACACCAGUGGCGAAGGCGAGUCUCUGGACAUUUCCUGACGCUGAGGCACGAAAGCCAGGGGAGCGAACGGG
rnacentral:rRNA from 1 species